rnacentral:snoRNA from 1 species
UAGCAGGUUGGGUUAAUUGUUACAAUAUAGCCGUGAAGUGUUAUAUUGUUCUUCCUCCUGCUCAAAGCAAUUGUUUCCUACAAUCUCUGUCUAGCUUAACUCUGUUAAGACAGGGACGCUUGGUCUCAAACAC